GUGUUCCCCAGGUGGAAGCCCCUCACAUCUCCCCUUGCUUGCUCCAGCCACCGUCUCCCUCCCUCCUCCUACCUCCCUGCCCAUCACCCAUCCCCCUGCUCUGCUCAAGAGUAUCCUGGCAUCUUGCAUUCCCUCCUUUAAUUCCAGAUCAAUUACUUCUCAUUUCCUCCUACCAGCCUGCCCUCCAGUGACUAAUGUAGAUUGCUACUCUCCUUGGGAAACAUGGGCUAGACUUGCCGAUCAGAAAGGUCAGCGGUUCGAAUCCCCCUGACGGGGUGAGCUCCCUGCUCCUGCCAAGCUAGCAGUUCAAAAGCACCUCAAAGUGCAAGUAGAUAAAUAGGUACCGCUUUAUAGCGGGAAGGUAAACUGUGUUUCUGUGCGCUGCUCUGUUUCACCAGAAGCAGCUUAGUCAUGCUGGCCACAUGACCCGGAAGCUGUACGCCGGCUCCCUCGGCCAGUAAAGUGAGAUGAGCGCCACAACCCCAGAGUCGUCCGCGACUGGACCUAACGGUCCGAGGUCCCUUUACCUUUACCACUUACUCUCUUUGCGAAACAUGGGCUAGACUUGAGGGGAGGGAAUGGAGGUGGGGAAGGAUUCACCCAUUAAACCCUUGUUUAACCUUCUUGAUCUUAUGCCCCACAAGAUCCGCAUCCGCUUUACAAAAAAGGGAGGGUAGUGAAUCUGGGUUAAGUGAUCUUAAGUAUGUUCCUCCACUAAGACUGCCCCUUUUAUUUUACUGGCAACCAAAAGAAAAAGGGGUAGAAUCUUAAACUGGCACACUUCUUUCAGGGCAUUUGAAUGACCCCUGGAUGUUUCCCCUUCUUUGUUUGGCUCACCUUUCCCUCCUCUUCUUUUCCCCUGGCCCUGUGCCUUUAACGGCAGACUUGGCUCGCAAAAAAUGAAGCCAGCAUCACUUUCUCCGUCCCUUCGCUCCAUGCCAGGAAGUGCAUAAUCUACAGGAAGAGCCUAAUCUACUUACCGAGUUCUUUUCUUCUUCUGUUUUGCAUGCUAGGCUACUGCUUACAAGGUGCAGGAAGUGGGGGCCCAAACCCAGUGGUAGCAAUGGUCCCCCACUUGCAAGCCUGGAUUCAAAAUCCAGAAAUGGUGAUCUCCGAAACCCUUCCUCCUCUUCCUUCAUCUGACAGCCUUGAAGUCUUGUUUUCAAUUUCAACUCUUCCCAGGAGCUGCCACCAAGCUAGAAUAGAGUUGUGCGGGGGGCGGGGGGACGGAGAGAACAAUCUGGUCUUCCACCUCACCUUGAACAGAGGUUAGAUGUACAGAAACCAGCCCAGGAAACUAUUUUGUGUGUGUAUUUGUUUGUUAUGGAGCUAAAACAUCAGCUCCCAAUAAUGGCUACCGUUUGAUCUGCUCUUAGGUUCAAAGGUUGGCAGCCCUAAAUUUCACACCCUCUGACAUUUCUCUGAUGAAAAUAGGGAUGUCCUUUUCAAUCAUCAUCAUCAUCCCUCACCCAUCUGACUGGGUUGCCCCAGCCACUCUGAGCAGCUUCCAACAUACUGAAAUGCAUAACAAAACAUUAAACAUAAAAAAACUUCCCUAUACAGGGCUGCCUUCAGAUGUCUUCUAAAAGUUGUAUAAUUAUCUCCUUGGCUUGGGGAUCACAUUGAUCCAUACCCUCCAACACUGCUACCAUGAAAAUAGGGACAUCCUAAGGAAAUGUGG